rnacentral:rRNA from 1 species
AUUGAACGCUGGCGGCAUGCCUUACACAUGCAAGUCGAACGGCAGCACGGGAGCAAUCCUGGUGGCGAGUGGCGAACGGGUGAGUAAUAUAUCGGAACGUGCCCAGUAGUGGGGGAUAGCCCGGCGAAAGCCGGAUUAAUACCGCAUACGACCUGUGGGUGAAAGCGGGGGAUCGCAAGACCUCGCGCUAUUGGAGCGGCCGAUAUCAGAUUAGCUAGUUGGUGGGGUAAAGGCCUACCAAGGCGACGAUCUGUAGCUGGUCUGAGAGGACGACCAGCCACACUGGGACUGAGACACGGCCCAGACUCCUACGGAGGCAGCAUGGGAAUUUUGGACAAUGGGGCAACCCUGAUCCAGCAAUGCCGCGUGAGUGAAGAAGGCCUCGG